rnacentral:rRNA from 1 species
UCCCCUACGGGGGGCAGCAGUGGGGAAUAUUGGGCAAUGGGGGGAACCCUGACCCAGCGACGCCGCGUGGGUGAAGAAAUCCUUCGGGAUGUAAAGCCCUGUUGUAUGGGAAGAGCAGAAGACGGUACCAUACGAGGAAGCCCCGGCAAACUACGUGCCAGCAGCCGCGGUAAUACGUAGGGGGCAAGCGUUGUCCGGAAUUACCGGGCGUAAAGCGCACGCAGGCUGAAUUAUAAGUCGGUAGUCAAAGGCGGAGUCUCAACUUCCGUUUAUCUAUCGAUACUGUAAAGCUAGAGUAUGUGAGAGGGAAGCGGAAUUCCGGGUGUAGCGGUGAAAUGCGUAGAUAUCGGGAGGAACACCAGUGGCGAAGGCGGCUUCCUGGCACAAUACUGACGCUCAUGUGCGAAAGCUAGGGCAGCGAACGGGAUUAGAUACCCCGGUAGUCCC